AGAGGACUAGGAAGAAACCACGAAAUUCAUAUGGAUUAGGUGAUAUUUUUUGUUAUUAACAUUUUGAAACGUAGUGUUUUGAGAAGACAUAGUGUUGAUUUUACCCAGCUUCUUCAAGUUUGCAUGGCGUGUGACAUUUGGAACCUCAUUAUGUUGUGAUUCUAGUUCAGCUACAUUCAAUUUGACCAAUCAUAGCCAAGCUUUUCAAGUGACGUCGAAGCAGACUCGAAGAGAUGAAGAUGCAGCCUUAGAAGUAACUGGGUGCAAUUGGCUGUUGCGUCACUCGCAUUGUGUUUUGGGCGGAGGUAGCCUACGUCACCACCACAUCAUUCCUGCUGGUAAGUCGCAUCAAAAAGUGGUCAUUAAAAAUGGAGUUUAUGUUUUAAAGUGCAAGGAUGGACUUUAAUACUGCACACAACAAGUUUACUUCACGUAUCUUUCAGUCGAGUCAAAUGUGUUUGUUAUUUGCGAUGGUGAAAUGUGAUGACUGUGUAUGUUAAUCUGCUUGUGAACUCCAAUUCUCUGUUGAUUCCAUUUAAGAUCUGUGAGCAAGAGCAACAUUUGAUGCGUGCACUGCCCACUAACCAGUUGUUGUUUGUUUGUCUCAGUUAUGUUUUUAUAUUCGAAUAUUUCAUGUUCUGUGUAUACAUGCCCUUGUGAAAAAAAAGUGCACUUUAGUGUA